rnacentral:rRNA from 1 species
GGCUGAAGUCGGUCCCAAGGGUAUGGCUGUUCGCCAUUUAAAGUGGUACGCGAGCUGGGUUUAGAACGUCGUGAGACAGUUCGGUCCCUAUCUGCCGUGGGCGUUGGAAGAUUGAAGGGGGCUGCUCCUAGUACGAGAGGACCGGAGUGGACGAACCUCUGGUGUUCGGGUUGUGUCGCCAGACGCAUUGCCCGGUAGCUAAGUUCGGAAUCGAUAACCGCUGAAAGCAUCUAAGCGGGAAGCGAGCCCUGAGAUGAGUCUUCCCUGAUACUUUAAGUAUCCUAAAGGGUUGUCGGAGACUACGACGUUGAUAGGUCAGGUGUGUAAGUGCUGUGAGGCAUUGAGCUAACUGAUACUAAUUGCCCGUGAGGCUUAACCAUACAACACCCAAGGGGUUU